rnacentral:rRNA from 1 species
UACGUAGGCAGCAAGCGUUGUUCGGCGUUACUGGGCGUAAAGGGUGUGUAGGCGGUUCUUUAAGUUUGGUGUGAAAUCUCCCGGCUCAACCGGGAGGGUGCGCCGAAUACUGAGGAGCUAGAGUGCGGGAGAGGAAAGUGGAAUUCCUGGUGUAGCGGUGAAAUGCGUAGAUAUCAGGAGGAACACCGGUGGUGUAAACGGCUUUCUGGACCGUAACUGACGCUGAGACACGAAAGCGUGGGUAGCAAACAGG